GCUGGUUCUGCAGCUCUGUGGCAAGCCGCGGAGUUGGGGUUCUGUUCCUCAGCAUGGGGUUUGUUAAAGUUGUCAAGAACAAGGCCUACUUCAAGAGAUACCAAGUGAAAUUCAGAAGACGACGAGAGGGCAAAACUGACUACUAUGCUCGGAAACGAUUGGUAAUCCAAGAUAAAAAUAAGUACAACACUCCUAAAUACAGAAUGAUAGUUCGUGUAACGAACAGAGAUAUCAUUUGUCAGAUUGCUUAUGCCCGUAUAGAAGGAGAUAUGAUAGUUUGUGCAGCUUAUGCUCACGAACUCCCAAAAUAUGGUGUGAAGGUUGGCCUGACAAAUUAUGCUGCGGCAUAUUGUACUGGCCUGCUGCUGGCCCGCAGGCUUCUUAAUAGGUUUGGUAUGGACAAAAUUUAUGAAGGCCAAGUCGAGGUGACUGGUGAUGAAUACAAUGUGGAAAGCAUUGAUGGUCAACCUGGUGCCUUCACCUGUUACUUGGAUGCAGGACUUGCCAGAACUACUACCGGGAAUAAAGUUUUUGGGGCCCUAAAGGGAGCUGUCGAUGGAGGCUUGUCUAUCCCUCACAGUACCAAACGGUUCCCUGGUUAUGAUUCAGAAAGCAAAGAAUUCAGUGCUGAGGUCCACCGAAAGCACAUCAUGGGGCAAAACGUGGCAGAUUACAUGCGUUACCUGAUUGAAGAAGAUGAAGAUGCUUACAAGAAACAGUUCUCUCAGUACAUAAAGAACAACGUAACUCCAGACAUGAUGGAGGAGAUGUAUAAGAAAGCUCAUGCUGCAAUACGAGAGAAUCCAGUGUAUGAGAAGAAGCCUAAGAAAGAAGUUAAAAAGAAGAGGUGGAACCGUCCCAAAAUGUCACUUGCCCAGAAGAAAGAUCGGGUAGCUCAGAAGAAGGCAAGCUUCCUUAGAGCUCAGGAACGAGCUGCUGAGAGUUAAACC
rnacentral:lncRNA from 1 species